GAGUUUGAUCAUGGCUCAGGAUGAACGCUGGCGGUAUGCUUAACACAUGCAAGUCGAACGGAUGUUUUCGGACAUUAGUGGCGGACGGGUGAGUAACGCGUGAGAUCUAGCUUCAGGUUGGGGACAACAGUUGGAAACGACUGCUAAUACCGAAUAUGCCGAGAGGUGAAAGAUUAAUUGCCUGAAGAAGAGCUCGCGUCUGAUUAGCUAGUUGGUGGGGUAAGAGCUUACCAAGGCGACGAUCGGUAGCUGGUCUGAGAGGACGAUCAGCCACACUGGGACUGAGACACGGCCCAGACUCCUACGGGAGGCAGCAG
rnacentral:rRNA from 1 species